AUUGAACGCUGGCGGCAGGCUUAACACAUGCAAGUCGAGCGGGGUGAUGGUGCUUGCACUAUCACUUAGCGGCGGACGGGUGAGUAAUGCUUAGGAAUCUGCCUAUUAGUGGGGGACAACAUCUCGAAAGGGAUGCUAAUACCGCAUACGUCCUACGGGAGAAAGCAGGGGAUCACUUGUGACCUUGCGCUAAUAGAUGAGCCUAAGUCGGAUUAGCUAGUUGGUGGGGUAAAGGCCUACCAAGGCGACGAUCUGUAGCGGGUCUGAGAGGAUGAACCGCCACACGGGGACUGAGACACGGCCCGGAGUCCUACGGGAGGCAGCAGUGGGGAAUAUUGGACAAUGGGGGGAACCCUGAUCCAGCCAUGCCGCGUGUGUGAAGAAGGCCUUAUGGUUGUAAAGCACUUUAAGCGAGGAGGAGGCUCUUUUGGUUAAUACCCAAGAUGAGUGGACGUUACUCGCAGAAUAAGCACCGGCUAACUCCGUGCCAGCCGCCGCCGUAA
rnacentral:rRNA from 1 species